GACGAACGCUGGCGGCGUGCUUAACACAUGCAAGUCGAACGGGUCUGCCCUGUUUUUUGCGGGGUGGGUCAGUGGCGAACGGGUGAGUAACACGUGAGUAACCUGCCCCUCACUUCUGGAUAACCGCUUGAAAGGGUGGCUAAUACGGGGUGUUCUGGCUGUGCCGCAUGGUGUGGCUGGGAAAGAUUCACUUUUGUGGUGUUUUGGUGGGGGAUGGGCUCGCGGCCUAUCAGCUUGUUGGUGGGGUGAUGGCCUGCCAAGGCUUUGACGGGUAGCCGGCCUGAGAGGGUGGGCGGUCACACUGGGACUGAGCUGCGGCCCAGCCUCCUGCGGGAGGCAGCAGUGGGGGGUAUUGCACAAUGGGCGGAAGCCUGAUGCAGCGACGUCGCGUGAGGGAUGGAGGCCUUCGGGUUGUGAACCUCUUUCGCCGGUGAAGAAGGUCCUGCUCUUUGUGGUGGGGUUGACGGUAGCCGGGUUAUGAAGCGCCGGCUAACUACGUG
rnacentral:rRNA from 1 species